rnacentral:rRNA from 1 species
UGGAUUUCUGUCCGUGAGUGGCGCUCCGCCCCUUGUGGUGAGUACAACUCAUGCCCCGGCAUCUUCUUGGGGAGUGUGUCUGCCCUUUACUGUGUGGCGCACAAGCCAGGACAUUUACUUUGAGGAAAUGAGAGUGUUUCAGGCAGGCGCACGCCGUGAAUACGUUAGCAUGGAAUAAUAGCAUCGGACCUCGCUCCAAAGCUGUUGGUUUCUUGGGUCGAGGUAAAGGUGAAUAGGGAUUGUUGGGGGCAUUCGUAUUUAACUGUCAGAGGUGAAAUUCUUGGAUUUGUUGAAGACGGACUACUGCGAAAGCAUCUGCCAAAGAUGUUCUCAUUGAUCAAGAACGAAAGUUAGGUGAUCGAGGACGAUCAGAUACCGUCCUAGUCUUAACCAUCAUCUUUGCCUACUGGAGAUAGGGGGUCGUUUAAUUGGUGACGCCUUCUGCAUCUUGAGAGAAAUCAAAGUCUUUGGC